rnacentral:rRNA from 1 species
GGACGAACGCUGCGGCCGUGCCUUAACACAUGCAAGUCGAACGGAAAGGCUCCCUUGCCUUGCAAGGGGUACUCGAUGGCGAACGGGUGAGUAACACGUGGGUGAUCUGCCUUGCACUUCGGGAUAAGCCUGGGAAACUGGGUCUAAUACCGGAUAGGACCAUGCUUUAGCGUGUGUGGUGGAAAGUUUUUUCGGUGCAAGAUGAGCCCGCGGCCUAUCAGCUUGUUGGUGGGGUAAUGGCCUACCAAGGCGACGACGGGUAGCCGGCCUGAGAGGGUGUACGGCCACAUUGGGACUGAGACACGGCCCAGACUCCUACGGGAGGCAGCAGUGGGGAAUAUUGCACAAUGGGCGCAAGCCUGAUGCAGCGACGCCGCGUGGGGGAUGACGGCCUUCGGGUUGUAAACUCCUUUCGCUAGGGAAGAAGCCACUGUGUGGUGACGGUACCUGGAUAAGAAGCACCGGCUAACUACGUGCCAGCAGCCGCGGUAAUACGUAGGGUGCGAGCGUUGUCCGGAAUUACUGGGCGUAAAGAGCUCGUAGGUGGUUUGUCGCGUCGUCUGUGAAAUCCCGGGGCUUAACUUCGGGCGUGCAGGCGAUACGGGCAUAACUAGAGUGCUGUAGGGGAGACUGGAAUUCCUGGUGUAGCGGUGAAAUGCGCAGAUAUCAGGAGGAACACCGAUGGCGAAGGCAGGUCUCUGGGCAGUUACUGACGUUGAGGAACGAAAGCAUGGGUAGCGAACAGGAUUAGAUACCCUGGUAGUCCACGCCGUAAACGAUGAGUGCUAAGUGUUAGGGGGUUUCCGCCCCUUAGUGCUGCAGCUACGCAUUAAGCACUCCGCCUGG